GGGUCCGGGUAGCUUCGCUGCGGUAGCCGUACGAGGUCGGCCCGCAGGUCGAGAGCACGCCCGAGGCGAUCUUGGCUCCUUACAAGCGAGGGGUCACUGGUUCGAUACCAGUACCGCCCACCA
rnacentral:tRNA from 1 species